AGUGAUGUUUGAGUAGGAGUUGUUUUUCUUCUAAGUUUCAAAAGGAACUUAGUUCCUUUUGAAAGACGGACGGGGAGGUAAUGUAACCGGUAGGUUCCAUAUCAUAUGUGUCUUUGACACCUUUCAACACACCCACAUCACAACACAACAAACUACACACACAAAAACUGCGCACAAUGCGAAUACUGCAGCGUGUCUUUCCCCUGGUAAUCGAAGGCAGAUGGCUGCGUCGGUUUGAGCUGUAGUGAGAACCGCAUUUGAAGUGUUCUACACACCGCUCACUAGGCAGGGCUCUCAGCCAGAUAGCGAAGGUACAAACCCAUUGUCGGAGUUGGGUUUUUUCCGCUUCCCUCCAACAAUAGGCUUGAACACUCGGCUAAAGGCGAUGGUCAGUCUUUCUGCCUAGAACUAUGAACGGGAGUAGAAGUGCGCGUCGGGUGUAGUAAUUUAAUUUUUGUAUUUUGUGUGUAAUAUGUGUAUUCAUGAAUUUUUGUUGUAGGCAUAAAUGAAAAAAAAGAAACAGUUAGUGGAAGGAAUUGUAGAAUAAUUGAGUUUGUGAAAAAAAGAAAUAGGAACCUGAAAAAUAAUUAAUUAUACACUUACCUGGAAACCCUGAAAAAGAAAAAAAAAACUGAAAAAAAGGUCCGCACAGUGGGCCUUUUUUUUAUGUCUUCUCCAAAAUAGGCAUCAACCACAACUUUCUAGGCCGAAAGUGUAGAGAGCCACCAACAAACUCAAGCGAUUGGCUUACAGCAAGACCGAGCACUCUAACCGCAACUUUUACAACCGAUUGCGAAGGACAAUCGAACCUGGACAGACGUGUCCCAGAGGACGAAACAGGAAGACAUAUUCACACAAGGAUAUGGAUAAACAACGUAUCACACCAAAUUGAGGACCACACCACAUUGCUCAAAUACAUAACGAUUGCGCAAGUAUACAAAACCAUAAACUGUGACGUCACAAAUAGUAAAGUAUAUCAAAACACAUAGAAAAGUAUAUGUUUAGAAUUAAAUUAAAAGUAAAAGAAGUAUUUACACCUAGAAUUUAUAUAGUACGCCACUACAAACAUAAUACACGUGUAAGAAAUUAAAAGUUUGGUUUACAUAAAUUUUCGUUUGUACACAUAUUUCCGUAUUUCUGUUUGUCGUUUUCCCGAACUCAAAAGGAGUUGUCAGGCCUCGCCCGCUCUAGUUUGGCAGGAAUCGUGUGCCAUCGUCAGCCUUUGAGGAAGUUGGAAAACGGCUGAGGGUUCUGUCCCUUGUUGCGUGUGUAUAACACUUUUAGGAAAUUAAACCCGAGCUCCCGAUUAACAGCUAGAUGCUGCCGGUGAGUGCUGGGAGAACGACCCUGUGGUUUU